GACGAACGCUGGCGGCGUGCUUAACACAUGCAAGUCGAACGCUGAAGCUCAGCUUUUGUUGGGUGGAUGAGUGGCGAACGGGUGAGUAACACGUGAGUAACCUGCCCCCUUCUUUGGGAUAACGCCCGGAAACGGGUGCUAAUACUGGAUAUUCACUGGUCUUCGCAUGGGGGUUGGUGGAAAGGGUUUUUCUGGUGGGGGAUGGGCUCGCGGCCUAUCAGCUUGUUGGUGGGGUGAUGGCCUACCAAGGCUUUGACGAGUAGCCGGCCUGAGAGGGUGACCGGUCACAUUGGGACUGAGAUACGGCCCAGACUACUACGGGAGGCAGCAGUGGGGAAUACUGCAGAAUGGGCGCAAGACUGAUGCAGCGACGCCGCGUGAGGGAUGGAGGCCUUCGGGUUGUGAACCUCUUUCGCUCAUGGUCAAGCCGCAACAAUGGUUGUGGUGAGGGUAGUGGGUAAAGAAGCGCCGGCUAACUACGUG
rnacentral:rRNA from 1 species